CCUCAAAUUUGAAUUAAACUUUCCAAUGUGAUUUCAGAAUCAUAACGAUCUUCGUUGCAGAUCAGUUACAAGAUCCAGGGUGUACAACCCCGGUUCGUCGACAUGGACAUCGAGAGGAACAUGAACAUAUGGCUCAGAACAUUGAUUUUCCAGAACUGUCAAGAUGGCAUCUCUGUACAACUUCAGUUGCAUCCCGAAAAAUGACGUGGAAGUACAAACAGUAUUUUCCUGGCAGAAAAUUUCUCAUGACAAGGAUCGCCUUGGAUUACACCUAAAUCUUGUAGAAGGAGAGUGAGGAGGAGGCGAGGAGAGCACUGGCGCUGCUGUUGACCAUAUGCAGGGGCAUAUAAACAAUCACAAUGAUACCACCUUACUGGAAAAUUAGAAACAAGACUUGUCCCAGCGUUUAUCAUGAUUUGAAUAUGAGCCUUUUUUCCCUGCUAUUAAUAAAGGUUAUUUGGUUGUGACCGUGCAUCACCAAGAAAUAAACUUAGGUUUCUUGAUACCGAGGUCGAGAAAGGUGGUAGAACGCAGCACACAUGACAAAAGAUGGAAGACAAUAAUAUUUGCUAUGAUUGAAUAGACGUGUUUUGCACGUGCACACUUACUAGUAUAGAUUAUUAUAUGUGAAUACACGUUAAUUUAGAGGAUGUAAAUGUACUACAAUUAUACUAUGGAC